ACUGAAAUCUUUGGGGUCAGUGUAGGAGGAUCUGGGCAAUGAUGAACGGGAAGAUCAAACUAGGAUUUCUUUCAUAGCCAGCGGUAGAAAGAAAGACACAACAAAUUUGAGCUCAUCUUGUGGUUUCUUAGCAUUGAGUGAAGUAACUACUGAACUGAACUAAGCUGGAGGAACUGAGAGGAAGAAGUGCUUUCUGCACCUGCAGAACAAGUUGCAGCUGUCAAGCACUGGUUUAUCAC